rnacentral:tRNA from 1 species
CUGGACGAAAGGAUUCGAACCUCCGAAUAGCGG